GGAACGGAUGCGAUGCACCUGGGCGAUUACGUGGUGACUAUCAUUUGUGCCCAUCUCUCUCUCUCUCGUCGGGCGGGCGGCCACUUGUACACAACAUCACUCUCUCUUUCUCUCUCCUGUACUCUCUACUGUACUCUUCUACGCCCUAGAAAUCGAAUCCGUCCGUUCCUCGUCCCUUCCUGUCGCCAUCUCAAUCUCAUCUCAUCCUAUCAAUCCAUCCCCCCUCAACCCUCCCCGCUUUUGAUAAAAAGAAAAAUAAAGCAGCAAGGGGAGAGCCGGUAGACCAUCAAACCUCUUCCUCCUCCUCGGAUCGUGAUUUUUUUUUUCCGAUUUUUGCCCUGUCUAUCCUAUCGGACUAGGGUUUCUUCGAUGAGAGCGGGGAUUCUUGCCGUGUGAUGCAUUCAGCGGCCGAAGGAUUGGCGGAUCCUGUGGUGGCGGUGUCCUUCCUCCUGAUCUUCCUCUUUCUUCUUGAUCUUUUCUUGUUUUCGUCGGUGGUUGGUUCCGGCUCCUCCUCGGGGGUGCAGCGAUGCCGGCGCUCGUCAACUAUGGAGGUAUUCCCCGGAUGUUCCCUUCCUCCUCUCGCUUCCUUGUUGAUGGGGCUUUGGAUCCAGAACUAGAUCUGUUUCUUUGCUUGACCUGAGGCCUUCAAAGGAGUUUCUGCCUGCUUAUCGGACGAGCUUACAUCCGAUUUUCAAGUUCUUGCUCGAAUAUUUGUUCUGACAAUAUCUAUCCCUCUUUUCUUUCCCUUUUUCCGCGCUCUCAGUUUCAUUUAUCUUAUUUUAUUUUAGUAUUUUUCGUUUUUUCGCCCUCUCUCUCUCUCUCU
rnacentral:lncRNA from 1 species